GGUUAAGUUAGAAAGGGCGCACGGUGGAUGCCUUGGCACUAGGAGCCGAUGAAGGACGGGACGAACACCGAUAUGCUUCGGGGAGCUGUAAGCAAGCUUUGAUCCGGAGAUUUCCGAAUGGGGAAACCCACCACUCGUAAUGGAGUGGUAUCCAUAUCUGAAUACAUAGGAUAUGAGAAGGCAGACCCGGGGAACUGAAACAUCUAAGUACCCGGAGGAAGAGAAAGCAAAUGCGAUUCCCUGAGUAGCGGCGAGCGAAACGGGACCAGCCCAAACCAAGAGGCUUGCCUCUUGGGGUUGUAGGACACUCUGUACGGAGUUACAAAGGAACGAGGUAGAUGAAGAGGUCUGGAAAGGCCCGCCAUAGAAGGUAACAGCCCUGUAGUCAAAACUUCGUUCUCUCCUGAGUGGAUCCUGAGUACGGCGGAACACGUGAAAUUCCGUCGGAAUCCGGGAGGACCAUCUCCCAAGGCUAAAUACUCCCUAGUGACCGAUAGUGAACCAGUACCGUGAGGGAAAGGUGAAAAGCACCCCGGAAGGGGAGUGAAAGAGAUCCUGAAACCGUGUGCCUACAAGUAGUCAGAGCCCGUUAACGGGUGAUGGCGUGCCUUUUGUAGAAUGAACCGGCGAGUUACGAUCCCGUGCAAGGUUAAGCAGAAGAUGCGGAGCCGCAGCGAAAGCGAGUCUGAAUAGGGCGAAUUGAGUACGUGGUCGUAGACCCGAAACCAGGUGAUCUACCCAUGUCCAGGGUGAAGUUCAGGUAACACUGAAUGGAGGCCCGAACCCACGCACGUUGAAAAGUGCGGGGAUGAGGUGUGGGUAGGGGUGAAAUGCCAAUCGAACCUGGAGAUAGCUGGUUCUCUCCGAAAUAGCUUUAGGGCUAGCCUCAAGGUAAGAGUCUCGGAGGUAGAGCACUGAUUGGACUAGGGGCCCCUACCGGGUUACCGAAUUCAGUCAAACUCCGAAUGCCGAUGACUUAUCCUUGGGAGUCAGACUGCGAGUGAUAAGAUCCGUAGUCGAAAGGGAAACAGCCCAGACCGCCAGCUAAGGUCCCAAAGUAUACGUUAAGUGGAAAAGGAUGUGGAGUUGCUUAGACUACCAGGAUGUUGGCUUAGAAGCAGCCACCAUUUAAAGAGUGCGUAAUAGCUCACUGGUCGAGUGACUCUGCGCCGAAAAUGUACCGGGGCUAAACGUAUCACCGAAGCUGCGGACUGUUCUUCGAACAGUGGUAGGAGAGCGUUCUAAGGGCUGUGAAGCAAGACCGGAAGGACUUGUGGAGCGCUUAGAAGUGAGAAUGCCGGUAUGAGUAGCGAAAGAGGGGUGAGAAUCCCCUCCACCGAAUGCCUAAGGUUUCCUGAGGAAGGCUCGUCCGCUCAGGGUUAGUCGGGACCUAAGCCGAGGCCGAAAGGCGUAGGCGAUGGAUAACAGGUUGAUAUUCCUGUACCACCUCCUCACCAUUUGAGCAAUGGGGGGACGCAGGAGGAUAGGGUAAGCGCGGUAUUGGAUAUCCGCGUCCAAGCAGUUAGGCUGGGAAAUAGGCAAAUCCGUUUCCCGUGAAGGCUGAGCUGUGAUGGCGAGCGAAUUAUAGUAGCGAAGUUCCUGAUUCCACACUGCCAAGAAAAGCCUCUAGCGAGGUGAGAGGUGCCCGUACCGCAAACCGACACAGGUAGGCGAGGAGAGAAUCCUAAGGUGAUCGAGAGAACUCUCGUUAAGGAACUCGGCAAAAUGACCCCGUAACUUCGGGAGAAGGGGUGCUCUGUUAGGGUGCAAGCCCGAGAGAGCCGCAGUGAAUAGGCCCAGGCGACUGUUUAGCAAAAACACAGGUCUCUGCGAAGCCGUAAGGCGAAGUAUAGGGGCUGACGCCUGCCCGGUGCUGGAAGGUUAAGAGGAGCGCUUAGCGUAAGCGAAGGUGCGAAUUGAAGCCCCAGUAAACGGCGGCCGUAACUAUAACGGUCCUAAGGUAGCGAAAUUCCUUGUCGGGUAAGUUCCGACCCGCACGAAAGGCGCAACGAUCUGGGCACUGUCUCAACGAGAGACUCGGUGAAAUUAUAGUACCUGUGAAGAUGCAGGUUACCCGCGACAGGACGGAAAGACCCCGUGGAGCUUUACUGCAGCCUGAUAUUGAAUGUUGGUACAGCUUGUACAGGAUAGGUAGGAGCCUUGGAAACCGGAGCGCCAGCUUCGGUGGAGGCAUCGGUGGGAUACUACCCUGGCUGUAUUGACCUUCUAACCCGCCGCCCUUAUCGGGCGGGGAGACAGUGUCAGGUGGGCAGUUUGACUGGGGCGGUCGCCUCCUAAAAGGUAACGGAGGCGCCCAAAGGUUCCCUCAGAAUGGUUGGAAAUCAUUCGCAGAGUGUAAAGGCACAAGGGAGCUUGACUGCGAGACCUACAAGUCGAGCAGGGACGAAAGUCGGGCUUAGUGAUCCGGUGGUUCCGCAUGGAAGGGCCAUCGCUCAACGGAUAAAAGCUACCCCGGGGAUAACAGGCUUAUCUCCCCCAAGAGUCCACAUCGACGGGGAGGUUUGGCACCUCGAUGUCGGCUCAUCGCAUCCUGGGGCUGUAGUCGGUCCCAAGGGUUGGGCUGUUCGCCCAUUAAAGCGGUACGCGAGCUGGGUUCAGAACGUCGUGAGACAGUUCGGUCCCUAUCCGUCGCGGGCGCAGGAAAUUUGAGAGGAGCUGUCCUUAGUACGAGAGGACCGGGAUGGACGCACCGCUGGUGUACCAGUUGUUCUGCCAAGGGCAUCGCUGGGUAGCUAUGUGCGGACGGGAUAAGUGCUGAAAGCAUCUAAGCAUGAAGCCCCCCUCAAGAUGAGAUUUCCCAUUCCGCAAGGAAGUAAGAUCCCUGAAAGAUGAUCAGGUUGAUAGGUCUGAGGUGGAAGUGUGGCGACACAUGGAGCUGACAGAUACUAAUCGAUCGAGGACUUAACCAA
rnacentral:rRNA from 1 species